AUUUUUCAAUUAUCCAUACAAUUUACUUUUAUUUCUAUUAGAAAGUCUUAAUUAUUCCAUUAUAAAUAUAUUCUCACACUUUGUACGAAAGCAAAUUUUUCAUGCAAAUCAUUGAGUUCUUCCUCUAGGUCUCUUAUUUCAUUAUUGAAUUUCAAUAAUUCAAUUUUUAUUAAUAACUUUAUUUUGUUAUUUUAUUUUUUAAAUAACUUAAAUACGAUUUAGGUUUU
rnacentral:lncRNA from 1 species